AGGUGCCACUGUCCCAGGGUUCAUUUUUUUUUUAUGCAAUUGUUUUCAUAGCAACUGUUAUGGGAUCUUCCAUAGUUUAAUGAUCUAAGGUGGGAAGUAUUUACCACUCUCCUGAACUGUGCUAUAGUCUCUGAGAGACCACAAGUACUUUGUCUCCCUUAGAACUAAAUCUGCUUACUCCUGUGGCAAAUGGUUGUGUGUUAGUUCUUCUCCUUGCCUUGGAACUGCAACCCAUGGUUGUUACCCAGAUCUGUGUAUGGGCAAUGCAACAGAGUCCUGCAACCUCUCUAAUCUCCUUGGAUGACUUAUCUGACCCCUUUACAAUGUAAGGGCUGAAAGCUCCAAAUGUUGCUGCUGAUGAUUCAUUUGCCCCCAAGGCUGGUAACUGGCUUAUAGAGGGAAGACCUGCCCUGGUGCAUCCUGCAGUGAACUAUACUCCACUCUCAUAUCAGAUUUAGUGGCCUUUUCUCAUCCAUGUUGGAAAUUCAAAUUGGGCUUCAAUCUCUUACAAUCCAUGUGACCUUUGGUCCAGUGUUUUAUCCACUGUGAUGUGUAGUUGCCAAGGAUUGGUCUGUCCAAACUACUCAAUGCAAGCAAAUUAUGAGAGUAACAAAAUAGACAUUUGAAGACAUGUUCAGGCUGUAGAAGAGCAAAGAAGCCAAAAUGUAUAUGAGUCUUUUUGUGAAAAAAAGGAAGAAAAGGGAAAAGAAGAGGAAGAACAGGAAGGAGGAGGAGAAAAGCAAGAACAAGAAGGAAGAGUAAUAGUUUUCGUUUGCACUCAGACUCAAUAGUUCUUUCUCUGGAAUCAGUUGGCAUCUUUCAUCAUGAGUUAUCAGGACAGUCUUAGAUCACUGUAUUGCAGAGAAUAGGUAAGUCAUCCACAUUUGUUCAUCAAAUAA
rnacentral:lncRNA from 1 species